ACUAACUGCAAACGUCCAUCGCUUAUUGUUUUGGCAACUCCUUUUACGCCCGCGAGGAAGUCAUGAAUUCAGGAAGUAAGCAGGCAAGUCCCAUUUGUGCAUGAAACCUUACCUAGAGGAAGAAAGUCAGCCAGUGCCCUCGCUAACCCCUCGGGCAAGAAAGGAAGGGCACUCCAAGGGCACGAAACCGAGAUGAAACAACGCAUUCCACAGGGGCAGAGGCGCUUCUCACAGGGCGAGGAAGAAGCCUGGCAUUUCAUGAAUGAAUAAGCUGUAACGAAGCAUUUCUGUGUCCUUAAAUACAAUUUCAAACAGCUGAGUGUACACAGAACUGCAGGGAACGUCAAACGACCACUUCAAUGACAGCAACUCAGCCAAACUCCCGUCUUCCAGUGAGACCGUAAAAUACAAGGCGGCUAAAAAUUCCCACCUCAACUGAAACAUCUUCACUAAGAUUUUCUAAAAGUCACAGCAGAUCUUUGAACCAGCAUAGAUGGCCUGGGACUGCUUUAGUGUUUCUGAUCACACUCCUUGGGUAAAGACUGUGCAGUCGGUAUUUUUUGAUGCUACUUAACUUUUCCUCUGACUGUAUCUCAAAGGUUCCUUUAACUCCUCGAAGCACUUAGCCACUGGUUAUUUUCAACCUGCAUAACGCUUUCUGUAUGUGAUAUUCUACAAUUAAAACGUAACUCUGAUUUCUAUAACACCAACAUACACUUGGUUACUGUAAAAGACAGUUAAGACAUCUGUAAGAGACUGAGGUGAGCACUGUUCUCUCUACUAAAAAAGGGAAUCCUGGCAGGUCCUGAGCUUUAUUCUAUUUGGGAGGCUGCCCAUAACGUUAUGCAUUUGUGGACGAGUCCGUCCGUCUCUAAGCGGCCAGCAAGCUGUAAGCACACCGGUUGUGAGAAUCUGCCAUAAAGAAAUACACCUUCCCUCUGUGAAACUCUCUACACCAAAGCAAAUUGAUCAACCUCAGAUUCCUACUCCACAUUCUUUGAUUCUGACUCACUUAUGACAGUCCUGGAAGCUGGAACUCGAAUAUCUAUGGGCAGUAAGCAAAUAAAGGCCUGAAAAGCUGUAACCAACCAACUGUUCCAUUGAAACAGACAACUACUGUGUGGCUUAGAAAAAUAACGGAUUUCUGCUUCCAGAUGAUUAAAGAGGCAUCCAUUUGGUACUGUGGCCUUUAGAAUGAGUCCCCAUGGUGCAGGAAGGCAGAAAGCUUGUGCACCGUAAUUAUUUGUGAAUUUUCAUCCCCCUACCCCCAAAUUGUGAAGAAAACAUGCAGGGAUUUUUUUUCCCCUGCAUUCUUCCUCCACAUUCACCAUUUUAUUGGUAAUCACAGACUCUACACUGCAGUUUUCAUGAGCUACCAGAAUUAUGUAAGUACACAACAUGAAACUAAUGAGGAAUAAAAUAUCUGUCAAUA